rnacentral:rRNA from 1 species
AGUCGAACGGAGAUUUUAUUUCGGUAAAAUCUUAGUGGCGAACGGGUGAGUAACGCGUAGGCAACCUGCCCCACAGCCGGGGACAACUUCCCGAAAGGGAAGCUAAUACCGGAUACGAACCGGGCAUCGCAUGAUGCCGGGUUGAAAGAUGGCCUCUAUUUAUACGCUAUCGCUGUGGGACGGGCCUGCGUCCGAUUAGCUGGUUGGUGAGGUAACGGCUCACCAAGGCGACGAUCGGUAGCCGGUCUGAGAGGAUGAACGGCCACAUUGGGACUGAGACACGGCCCAGACUCCUACGGGAGGCAGCAGUGGGGAAUCUUCCGCAAUGGACGCAAGUCUGACGGAGCAACGCCGCGUGAGGGAGGAAGUUUUUCGGAACGUAAACCUCUGUUGUUCAUGACGAACGAGCUUUUUAUCAACAACGAAGAGCAGUGACGGUAGUGAACGAGGAAGCCACGGCUAACUACGUGCCAGCAGCCGCGGUAAUACGUAGGUGGCAAGCGUUGUCCGGAAUUAUUGGGCGUAAAGCGCAUGUAGGCGGUUUGGUAAGUCGGUCGUGAAAAUGCGGUGCUUAACGCCGUAUGGCGAUCGAAACUGCGGAACUUGAGUGCAGGAGAGGAAAGGGGAACUCCCAGUGUAGCGGUGAAAUGCGUAGAUAUUGGGAAGAACACCGGUGGCGAAGGCGCCUUUCUGGACUGUGUCUGACGCUCAGAUGCGAAAGCCAGGGUAGCGAA